GCGCAGCAGGCGAGAAACCUCCGCAAUACACGAAAGUGUGACGGGGCCAUCCCGAGUGCCGUCCGCCGAGGACGGCUUUUCCCCAGUGUACAUAGCUGGGGGAAUAAGGAGAGGGCAAGCCUGGUGUCAGCCGCCGCGGUAAUACCAGCUCUCCGAGUGGUGGGGACGCUUAUUGGGCCUAAAGCAUCCGUAGCCGGCUAGGCAAGUCCUCCGUUAAAUCCAACGAUUCAAUCGUUGGGCUGCGGGGGAUACUGUCCAGCUUGGGGGCGGGAGAGGCCGACGGUAUUCCCCGGGGUAGGGGUGAAAUCCUAUAAUCCCCGGGAGGACCACCAGUGGCGAAGGCUGUCGGCUAGAACGCGCCCGACGGUGAGGGGAUGAAAAGCUGGGGGGAGCGAACCGGAUUAGAUACCCC
rnacentral:rRNA from 1 species